UACGGGGGGGGCAAGCGUUGUUCGGAAUUACUGGGCGUAAAGGGCUCGUAGCCGGCCAACUAAGUCAGACGUGAAAUCCCUCGGCUUAACCGGGGAACUGCGUCUGAUACUGGAUGGCUUGAGUUUGGGAGAGGGAUGCGGAAUUCCAGGUGUAGCGGUGAAAUGCGUAGAUAUCUGGAGGAACACCGGUGGCGAAGGCGGCAUCCUGGACCAACACUGACGCUGAGGAGCGAAAGCGUGGGGAGCGAACAGG
rnacentral:rRNA from 1 species